GAGAUCGAAACCAUCCUGGUUAACACAGUGAAACCCUGUCUCUACUAAAAAUACAAAAAAAUUUAGCCAGGCGUGGUGGCACGCACCUGUAGUCCCAGCUACUCAGGAGGCUGAGACAGGAGAAUCGCUUGAACCCAUGAGGCGGAGAUUACUGUGAGCUGAGAUCACACCACUGCACUCCAGCCUAGGUGACACAGUGAGACUAUGUCUCAAAAAAAAAAAAAAAAAAAGAGAGAGAGAGAGAAAUAAUCAUUUAAGUGUCCUUUUAAGGAUCAAAGCCAUUUAGAGGUUUUCUUUCUUACAAUUUUCAAAGAAGCUUAAAAAAAAUGAUGACACACUAUAAUAAAUAUCUAAAAGACAGCUCAGGCCACCCAGUAAAUAUUAGUUGAAUUGCUUUGGUAUUAGAGUAUUAGAGUAUUAGAUCCUCCCUGCAGCAAAAAUAUAAACCUAUAUCACCCUCCAGCUCAAAUAUCUUCCAUGGCUCCCCAUCGCCCUCAAGAGACAAUUUAAACUUCCUACUAUGGACUCUCUACUCCAAGUCCCUGAUGGUCCCUGGUGCGUCCCCAGCUUCCAUCCUCUUAUCUGUCCUCCCCACAAUCUCCCUUCAGCCAUGCUAAACUACCUGCCAUUCUCUCUAUGAACUCCAGGCUUUUGUACUUGCUGUCCUUCUGGGAGCCCGUUUGUCCAAUGCUUAUUCAUUCUUUAUGAGUUAAGUGUCACCUCCCCAAAGUGGCCGACCUCUACCCCCUGUGGUCUUGUACCAGUGCCUUCUCCUGAGUCCCACAACAUCCUGCGUUUGCUCCUCUUACAUGAUAUUACUAUCUUCUGCCGGCCUGUCUCUCCCACAGACAUGAAAGCAAGCCUUUGUGUACUUAGGCUGGAUUUCAACCUUGGCUUUGCCAUCUGUGUUCUUGGGCAAAGUUGGUUUUUUUCUCUUUGAGCCUUAGUUUCCUCAUCUGUCAAGGUUAAGUGAAGUGACACACAAUACCUGGCAUCUAGUGAGGUCCAACGUUAGCUUUUUUUUUUUUUUUGAGACGGAGUUUCGCUCUUGUUACCCAGGCUGGCGUGCAAUGGCUCCAUCUCGGCUCACCACAACCUCCGCCUCCUGGGUUCAGGCAAUUCUCCUGCCUCAGCCUCCCGAGUAGCUGGAAUUACAGGCACACGCCACCAUGCCCAGCUAAUUUUUUUUAUUUUUAUUUUUAGUAGAGACGGGGUUUCACCAUGUUGACCAGGAUGGUCUCAAUCUCUUGACCUCGUGAUCCACCCGCCUCGGCCUCCCAAAGUGCUGGGAUUACAGGCGUGAGCCACCGCGCCUGGCCCAAUGUUAGCUUUUAUUAUCCACGCAUCUUCAGGGCCAGCUUUUGACCAAACACCCUGUUGAUACUCUGUGAAGUGGUAGCUCUGCCUAGAGCAAUGUUUUUCAAAUUUUCUCCUUCAUUGGAACUACCUGAGGGGUUGCUAAAACACAGGUUACUGGGUCCCACCCCAGGAGUUUUUGAUUCUGCGGGCACAAGGUAGGGCUUGAGAGUUUGCAUUCCUAAUAUGUUCUCAGGUGAUGCUGAGCCUGCUGGUCCUGGGACUGUACUUUUAGAACCACUGGGCCGAUUUUCGGGAAGAGUGGAUGUCUGGUUAGUGUGAUCAGACAUUCGGAGCUAAACAAACUCAUGCUAGAGGAUAAGGCGAUCCACCAUGGGCGUGGCCACAGAGUAUUUGUUUAUCAGUUUAACCUUUCAACCACUAUUUGUUGAGUAUCUACCAGGUCCAGGCAUUGUGCUAGACACCAACAAUAGAACGAUGAUUGAGCAAGACAAGAAGGUCCAGAUCUUGAUAAGUUCACAGUCUAGUGGUCCUGCUUUGGAAGGUGGGGACUGUCAUUACACAAAUCCCAUGGAUCUGAACUGAAGGGGCAUAAUUACUUUGGGGAAUGGUUAGCCUUCAAACCACUGAUAUCAUCAUUGUUUUCUCUCUACCGCAUCGGCGUAUUGCCUUCUCACUAAUGAUUUCACCGAAAUGACCCAUGAGGACUGAUUAUGGUAUUCUGAUAAUCCCUUGGCCUGGAACUGCAGCCAUCAUUUGGAACAGUUUUAGGAUGAAGUCGACCCAUGGAACAUGGCAGAACAGAGUGUCAGAGAAUCAGAGCCAGGCUGUGAGACUGAACACCAGUUAUAGGAAACGACACAUUUCCUUAUUAUCGUUGUUAGCUGGAACACAGUCUCAGAGAAUCAAAGCCAAAGAUGUUAUACAACACCUAUGAUAUGAAAUGAUAAAAACCCUUAUUAUGAUGAUUAUCUGCCAAUUCAAGGGGGUUUUCUGUUACUUGGUGCUAAAAGUCCCCCAUGAUAAAAUAGCCUGCAUUACUAUGUGCUUACAACGUGCCAGCCAGUGGACUGAAUGUUUGGUGUGCACCAUCUCGCUGCAUGCUGGCAGCAACCCCACACGUAGGCUCUAUGACUAGCCGAUUGUUGAAGGAGGACAUUCAGAGUUGAAGUCACUUGCUCUCUAGUUGGGAGUGUAGAGGAUGAGAGUUAAGGCUGUUCUGUGGAGCAGGACCGGCCAGUAAGGAUUAUUUAAAUGCAUUGCCAAUGACACCAACUUAAAUGUUCUGCAAUCACACAGACUUCCUUGAGCUUCUUCCAAGAUGGAGCAGAUAAGAAGGGACAUACAAUCCAACCAACCUUUUCUUUGUUUGGAGGGCUGAGAAUCAUAGAAGGCAACCGACUUGCUCGGUUCAGCUUUCUCCAUCUAGUUCUCCUCAUUAAACGACUGCUUUCUAGAAGUUAAUCAAAUACACUCUCAGGCUGCUUUGGCCCAGUUUCCUGGUUAGGCAAGAAGGGAAAAAGGGCUAGGCAUUGCAGAACCCCAGGUCCCGCAGCUCCCCCACGUGGCUGCAUUUUUGACAAAACCAUGCUUCUGAGAGAGGAGAUCAAGUAAGAAGCCAGCCCUUCCGCGGCUGUCAUUAGCAGAAGUGCAGCUGGGGGCCAUUUUGUCAAGAAGUGGCUCAUUUGGAAAAACAAAACAAAACAAAAAAAUGGCAAAAAAAAAAAAAAAAAAAAAAAGAAAUCUCUACAGGUGCAUGUCAGUCCCUGGUAAUGAAAUGUAACAAAGGAAGCACUUAAGUUCGGUGAGGGAAAUACAGCUUGAAAUUACAGAUUGUGCCCAGAGCACUUUAUAAACGGUAAUGUGGGAUAAUGGAUUAUCCCUACUUUGGUGAAAUUGUGGACUGCAACUUCUGCUGGGGCAAGUUAAAGGGCCAGGAGAUGGAGAGGGUCGCGGGGAUGCCUUUCCAGAAAAGGGCAACAGAGGCUAAGGGGUUAAACUCCCCAGAAAACCAAUUUACGCAAAGGGCUGGAUCCUGACCGGCAUUCUGCGCUAAAAAUCUGAAUUACAAAUUUAGAGAAUUUGCCGCUCGACUAUGAAUUCAAGAAGGACCUCACGAGCUUCUGGGAACAACUGCUUUGAAUGAAUUAUUUUAUGGAUACCAGUCAGAAAGUCACCGUCAGCGGGAACUAGAAAGGAGAGGUUCUCUGUUGUUACCCAGACUGGAGUGCGAUGGCACAAUUUCAGCUCACUGCAACCUCCACCUCCUGGGUUCGAACCAUUCUCCUGCCUCAGCCUCCUGAGUAGCUGGGACUAUAGGCGCGCACCACCACGCCCAGCUAAUUUUUGUAUUUUUAGUAGAGACGGGGUUUCACCUUGUUGACCAGGAUGGUCUCGAUCUCUUGACCUUGUGAUCCACCCGCCUCAGCCUCCCAAAGUGCUGGGAUUAUAGGCAUGAGCCACCGCGCCCAGCCUCCAUUAACAAAUUUUAUGCUAUCCCAGAAAAGCACUCUUUGCCCCUUAUUCUGGUACCAGAACUUGGCUUUUCCUUGAGGAACCAUCUUUCUUCCUCAUCUACUCCAUGUGGUCCAGGCAAACUACUUCCACCUCUAGACAAGAGCAUGUGACUUAGGCCUGGAUGAUCAGAGCGUUGCAUGUGAUUGGCCUGCUGUGACUGGCUCAGCAGAGCCAAAUGCAGGUAACACUGAAGCUAAUCUCAGAGCUUUGCUGAAACAAUCGAGAGAGAGGCUGGCUCCCUUUCUGUCAGAUUUGAAGCUGUGAAGAUGUAAGACUGCAGCUUCCAGAAUCACCAGUAUUUCUAGGGAAAAUCUUUCUGAAAAGGAAGCCAACACAGAGAAAGCACAGCUGAGAGGUCAAGAGAGAGAGAGAGAAAGACCAGGCACUGAUGGUAUCCUGUGUUCCUUCAAUUUCUAGCUGUUCCUGAAACCCUUUUAUGUUUCUACCAGCUUUGAGGGGGCUACUCCCACUUGCGGCCACAUGAGUUAUUUUCCUGGGGAUGUGGGGAUGCCCCUUCUUUUCUUCAUGGUUGCAUCUACCCUAAUUUUUGGUGUGAAAUUGUCCUUUUGCUUCAUGAAAUGGUGGCAAAAGAGAUGACUGUUUUUGGUUUUGAACGUAUAUCUUUUUUUUGUGUGUGUGUCAAAAUGAAAGGUUUACAAGCCCACAUGCUUCCAAUAAUUUGAUGAGAUGAGGCUGUAAAAUCCAACAUUCUAGUAAAUGCAGGCUGGGGUAAGAAGAAUAAUCAUUUGGAUAUCUGAUUUCUCCAGCUGCAAAAGCAACAACAGUCCAAAGAAAUAUGUCUCCAGUAUAAGAAAAGCACCAGUUCAAGCAAGGCUGGCUUUGCUGUUGGGGAGAAAAUUUAGAGUAAGGGAGACUUGAGUGUUACAUGCCCUUUCCAAAGGGCAACAGUUGCUGCAAUCCAGUCAAGAGAUACCACAUAGGCUUGCAGCCCCAGUGUGGUCAGAGAGCUUGUGUUUACCAAGAGAACCCUGAAAUUGAAUUUUUAAAAAUGCCAAAUAUGUCAAGUUAUUUUUAUUUUUUGAGAUGGAGUUUUGCUCUUGUUGCCCAGGCUGGAGUGCAAUGGCGUGAUCUCAGCUCACUGCAACCUUCACCUCCCAGGUUUAAGCGAUUCUCCUGCCUCAGCCUCCUGAGUAGCUGGGAUGACAGGCAUGCACCACCACACCUGGCUAAUUUUGUAUUUUUAGUAGAGACGGAAUUUCUCCAUGUUGGUCAGGCUGGUCUCGAACUCCUAACUUCAGGUGAUCCACCUGCCUUAGCCUCCCAAAGUGCUGGGAUUACAGGCAUGAGCCACCACGCACAUCAUGUUAAGUUUUAAAUAUUGACUUCAAAGGUUUUAAAGCCCUGAUUGUGGCAAACAACUGGCAAACACACUUGACCCACCAGAUACAUGCGUAUAAGCCUGAUUCAGAAAGUUAUGUACUGUCUCCAGGUAAAAACUUCUAACAAGAACUUUUCCUUUAUUCUUUAAAAUGAAGAAAACAAGGUGGCAGCUUUGAUGGAGAAGGCAUCAGAGGAGGCCUUUGAUGGAGAGCUUUCCUUUCACACCAGUGAAUCACGUACACCCCUUAGAAAUAAGUGCGAAGACAAACAGCAGAGACUCCCCAGUCCAGAAGGCCUCGGCAGGUGCUCUUCAGAGGACAGAAUCCUUGGAGAAAGAAGCAGCAGACAUCCAGUGUGCCUUGAGAAGCUCUUCUGCAAUACAUGUCCUGAACACUUCUAGCAGAGCCCAGCUGUCAGAGUUGCAGUAAAUGCUAAGAUAUGCAUGUCCAAGAACAAUAGAUGGCCCAGAGCAGAUACUCUCCUUAGAAUGAAACAGAAACUCUCACCGCAACGCUCUUCAGAAAGGCCAGAAACCAGAGACCCCAGUUCAAAGGCCUUCUUAAUUGUUUUUGUUGCGUAGAAAAAUUUAAGAUGCAGUGAGUGGCUAAGAGCUCAGUGGCUGGAGUCAGAGGGACCUGGUUUGAUUCGAAUUCCAUCAUAACCUUGCUGUGUGACCGAAGGUACUGACCUCUCAGUUUCCUCAUCUGUACAGGAGCAAUGAAAGACAUGACACCUUAUGGUGCUGUGAGGAUUAAAGGAGCUAAAAAUGGAAAGGACACGCCAAUGUUCUCAAGUCUGAAUCCAAGGCUCUGGAAAGUAAAAUUCCCAACUGGAUUCUCAAGACACUCCUAGGCGGGUAUAAAUAGAAUGACGUUUCCAGCUUAUUUGGAUUUGUAUGGAUGUCAUUCCAAUUUUAGAAUCACCAAGAUUAUUGGCACAAUUGCUUCACUGUAAAAUUCCAGACAAAAUGUAUAAUCAUAUUUAAGCUUUUCUUUUUGAAUAAAAUAAUUGUAUCCUAUUUUUAAAUAAUAAUCUUUGGGAAUUUUGGUUCUAAAGUUGUCUAGGGAAUUAGUUUGGGGAUCAGGUAUAGUCGUAACUUAAGAAACAAAAGGAGUAUUGUACAUAGCAAUAUAUUUCCUGUUUAAAAUGUAGAAUAAGCCCAUUAUUAUGGAAAUAAAAAUAUCAUAACAUA